rnacentral:pre_miRNA from 1 species
AAUUUUAUAUCAUGAUGAUGAUGAUGAUGAUGAUGAUGAUGAUCAUCAUCAUCAUCAUCAUCAUCAUCAUCAUCAUCAUCAUCAUCAUCAUCAUUU